GAUUUUAGAAAGCAAACAUAUAACUAAAAGAAAACCAGAUAGUAUUAAAUCAUUCUUGAAAUUUAAUUAAACAUGGCCUGUCUUCUUGGGAUAAGUGAUGUAGGAGAAGCAUUUAUUGUAAGCUUUUGAAGCUAAUUCGAGUUACAGUCCUUUUUGUACUCUAAAUUUGUAGAAGAAUUCAGAUUUUUAAUUUGGAAAAGUGAUGCAGGCCAAGCAUGUGGUUU
rnacentral:misc_RNA from 1 species